CUUGCUACUUUGCCGGCGAGCGGCGGACGGGUGAGUAAUGUCUGGGAAACUGCCUGAUGGAGGGGGAUAACUACUGGAAACGGUAGCUAAUACCGCAUAACGUCGCAAGACCAAAGAGGGGGACCUUCGGGCCUCUUGCCAUCAGAUGUGCCCAGAUGGGAUUAGCUAGUAGGUGGGGUAACGGCUCACCUAGGCGACGAUCCCUAGCUGGUCUGAGAGGAUGACCAGCCACACUGGAACUGAGACACGGUCCAGACUCCUACGGGAGGCAGCAGUGGGGAAUAUUGCACAAUGGGCGCAAGCCUGAUGCAGCCAUGCCGCGUGUAUGAAGAAGGCCUUCGGGUUGUAAAGUACUUUCAGCGGGGAGGAAGGUGUUGAGGUUAAUAACCUCAGCAAUUGACGUUACCCGCAGAAGAAGCACCGGCUAACUCCGUGCCAGCAGCCGCGGUAAUACGGAGGGUGCAAGCGUUAAUCGGAAUUACUGGGCGUAAAGCGCACGCAGGCGGUCUGUCAAGUCGGAUGUGAAAUCCCCGGGCUCAACCUGGGAACUGCAUUCGAAACUGGCAGGCUAGAGUCUUGUAG
rnacentral:rRNA from 1 species